rnacentral:rRNA from 1 species
AUUGGACGCUGGCGGCAUGCCUUACACAUGCAAGUCGAACGGUAACAGGUCUUCGGAUGCUGACGAGUGGCGAACGGGUGAGUAAUACAUCGGAACGUGCCUAGUAGUGGGGGAUAACUACUCGAAAGAGUGGCUAAUACCGCAUGAGAUCUACGGAUGAAAGCAGGGGAUCGCAAGACCUUGCGCUACUAGAGCGGCCGAUGGCAGAUUAGGUAGUUGGUGGGAUAAAAGCUUACCAAGCCGACGAUCUGUAGCUGGUCUGAGAGGACGAUCAGCCACACUGGGACUGAGACACGGCCCAGACUCCUACGGGAGGCAGCAGUGGGGAAUUUUGGACAAUGGGCGCAAGCCUGAUCCAGCAAUGCCGCGUGCAGGAUAAAGGCCUUCGGGUUGUAAACUGCUUUUGUACGGAGCGAAAAGGCUCCCUCUAAUACAGGGGGCUCAUGACGGUACCGUAAGAAUAAGCACCGGCUAACUACGUGCCAGCCGCCGCAGUAACAC